UACGGGGGUUGCAAGCGUUGUUCGGAUUUACUGGGCGUAAAGGGCGCGUAGGCGGCGUGACAAGUCACUUGUGAAAUCUCCGGGCUUAACCCGGAGCGGCCAAGUGAUACUGUCGUGCUAGAGUGCGGAAGGGGCUACUGGAAUUCUCGGUGUAGCGGUGAAAUGCGUAGAUAUCGAGAGGAACACCUGCGGCGAAGGCGGGUAGCUGGGCCGACACUGACGCUGAUGCGCGAAAGCCAGGGGAGCGAACGGG
rnacentral:rRNA from 1 species